AGGAGGCAUGUGUUAUCAUGGCUAUCACACUCCUUCAUAAAGCAACAAUAGAUCUCCUUCCAGAAACAUCAUUUUCAAAAGGAGCAGGUACCCAGCUGUAAACAUCAUGAAGGAUGUGACGGGAGGGCGGCUUCCCUCCUUUAGGAGCUGUAUAUACAUUAAUCACUGAAUCACCAAGCCAUGCUUAAUUGCAAGCUGUAUAUCACACAAAUCCAUGGAAUGCAGAAAAGGUAUUACACCACUAAUUACAGCCCACACCAGCACCCCCACCUGAGCUGCCUGAAAGGAAAACGGAACUGUCUCAAAUCUGCAGCCAUCCCAAGCUUCUGCCUCAUUGCCACUAAAUGGUGGAGCUGAUAUCCAAAGCCCUGAGACCCAUUUCUGUACUUACUAGUCAGGAAAAUAUGAUGGUGACUAUGGAGUCUGGAAAGGGGAAGCCAAGAAGCUAAGCAGAUCCAGAAGAUUUGGACAAACUAAAAGCUGUCAAUCUAACAACAACAGGGCAAA